rnacentral:lncRNA from 1 species
ACACACACAUCUGCUGUGACCUUGGAGAAGACCUCCUUGCUGCUGUCCCUGGAGGACCCACCCUGACGAAUGAGGUUCCUGCCCCCUCCAGAGGCCACCCAGACCUGACCUUCUCAGCCCGACAGUGGACGUGGCAACCAGGGGACAUUUCCUUGGAAGAAAAGAAGACCAUAUCCUGCAGAUGCUUCCAGGUAACUGCUUUGUGUUCUUUCAGUCUUUGGAUUCAUGCGCGCUUUGUUUCUGGGCUGCUCCAGAUACAGAGGUUCUGAGCCUCAGUGCAGAAACCCCAGUUUACAGAGAAAUCUUCGGGGGAGCGGGACACCGCACAAGCAAGACUCUGGGGCAGAUUUGCACUAGACAUGUUGGUCCUACCCACUGGAGGCCACGCCACAGUAGAAAGUUUAGAAAGAUAAUAAUAAUAUGGUUGAUGGUGAAAUACCAACUAUCGUUCACUGAACACCUAGUAUGCACCAUCUAUUGCCCAAUUUAAUUGUCCCUGUGAAGUAGGUAAUGUUAUGUCCAGUUUACAGAUGGUGAAACUGAGACUCGGGAAGGUAAAAUAACCUGUCCAGAUACUCGGCAAGUAAAUGUCAGAGUGGGAAUUCAGAUCUAGGUGGUUCUGCCUCCUCAACCAAUGUCCAGAACUUAGCUGGCAUAUGGUGUUCUCAAUGGCAAUUGUUUGAAUGAUGGACUUAAGGAAUACCUCCUGAAUGCCAAGCCCUGACUUAGGUGCUUUUAUACAGCAUCUCAUUUAAUCUCCAGAACAACAUUUGUCAGGUAUGUGUAAUUAUUUUCAUUUUACAAAUGAGAAAACUGAGGCUCAGAUGUUUGUCCAAGGUCACAUUGAGCCAAAUAAAGGCCUUUUUGGGACGCUCUCCUGGGCAGAAUGAAUCAGGAGCAACCUGGACCCAGGAUCAGAGCCCAGAAGCCAGAAAGGACCAGGGAGUAGGCGGGGCUGCUCAUUGGAUGUUGUCUCCACCCACAGGAGACAGCAGAGGCUACAGAGGUAAUGAUGAUUUUGGAUAAGCCAUCCCAGCCUCAAUUUCCUCAUCUGACAAAUGGGACCACCCUUACCUACUGUAUAGGUAGUCAAGAGGAUUGAAUGAGGUAAUGCAUGUGACAUACUUAGAGCAAUGCCAAGGUCACAGGGAACACCUGACAAAUGGGAGAUCCCUCUGCUCCUACCCGCUUUCCCUUCUUUCCUGGUCUCUGUCAGUUGGUCCACAUUCCUGGCAUCUGGGAGAGCAGCCUGGCAUGGCACCCUACCUACCGCUGACCCUGACCCAGCACCGAUGUGGUUGGUGUCUGUGGAAUGAGAGCCAGCUGAGCGGCUCCCUGGCUGUUUGACCUUGUGCAGCUCAUUUAUCCUCUCUGGGCCUCAGUCUGGGCUGCCAGGGUGGGUGGACUGGGGUCAGGGGGUGCUGACUGGACCAUCACUGGUGGGGGAUCCCCCCGUACCUGAGCGAGCCCCUUACCCCCAGCUCCCCCCCCCCCCCCCCCCCCCCCAGCCUGUACCACCUUUGCGCUGAGCCUGUGCAAAGGCUCUGGGAGCUGAGCCGGCUGACCGCUGGCCCGGGGACUGUCCCUGAGGGCAUCUCCAGAAGUUCCUUCCCUGCACAUGCCAGGUGACAGACCCAUCCUUCUUUCUCUCCCACAGCCCCUGGCGGAGGCCCUCCCACUCCAGCAGGGGACAGGAAAGUGACUCAGCCCCCACACCCCCUCCUCAGACUCACACACUCACAGCAUUGCUUUGGAAAAAGGGUGGUUUUCAUUUCUUUCCUUUUUUUUCCUUUUCCUUUUUUUUCCUUCAAGCACUCUUACUCGCCUGUCCCUGGGCUGUCUCUCCCACGGGCCUCCGUGGUCUGGGCCAGGAGUCUGUGGCCAGCCCUUCUCCAUCCUCUCCUGGUGGAGGGUCCCGCCAUCAGGGCGGGCUGCAUGGCCCUACUGUGCAUGGUGGGAAAGAGGCUGGCCUCUGGAGGCCCCAGCUGGCCCCCUAUUAUAUUGGCUUCUAUUAAAUUGAAAUACAUAGCACAUCUAUUACACAAUAAACCACAGCUAUUUCAUGGAUCAAAUUAAGUUUUAUUUGGGCAAAUUACAACCUUUCCUACAGUCGUGCCUUUGUGAGGCCAUUCCUUUUUAAUAAAAGCAAGCAUUUCUGGGGCUGGCCCUCCUGAACCAAAGCUCCAUGGUGGGUUGGGGGCUCAGGCCGGAGCUGGCAAGAUUAUGAGUGUGUGAGUGUGUGUGUGUGUGUGUGUGUGUGUGUGUGUGUGUGUGGUGGGAAUUCUUAGGGCCCCUCUUGGGAAUAGAUUUGUCCACCUUCUCCCCCUGCCUCCUCAUCCUGAGGUUGCCAUGGAAGUCUGCAGAGAACUUCUCAUUAAACAAGAAAAAAGCAGCAGCAGCAGCAGCAGCAACAGGAGGAAAGCAUUUCCCGGAAUCCAGGAGGAAGUGUGAGUCACCAGCCUGCUAAGUGAGCCCUGCGUGGCCACUGCAGCCCCUGCCCAGGAGGCCUGGAGCACAGGGCCAGCCGUCAGGACUGCGCCAGGCCUGCCCGCAUAGACAUGCCCGCUGCCCAGGCUGACGCAGGCUCCAGGAAUGCAAACAAAGCUGGGUGGAGGGGCCUUCUGAGGGCCAGGGCACUGGGCCAGGCAGGAGGGAACCGGCCCGGAGGAGAGGCCCGCAGAGGGGCCUCAGGCCUCAGACGAGCCCCUCUCUGGCGUCCUUAGAGCCUGGGCUGCUGGGAAGGCUCCUAACUUCCCAGUGUGACCUGCCCUAACGCUGCCAGCUCCAGCCUGGCCUCGGGGCUCCUCCUCAUGGGACAGGGGCAGAAGGAGUUCCCCUAGGUCAAUGGGUCUCAAAAUUGGUCUCUGGAUCAGCAGCAUUAGUAUCACUUGGGAACUGGUCAGAAAUGCAGAUUCUCAGGCUCCCUUCAUGAAUCAGAAACACCAAGGGGUAGAGGCCAGCGAUCCGGGGUUUAACAAGCCUUCCAGGUGAUUCUGUUGCACACGUAAAUGUGAGGACCACUGCUCUUCCUUGUCUGCAAGUCAGCUUCAAACCCGCAUCUGCCCAUUGUUCAUGUGGCCACAAAAUUAAGAGGUAACGCCUAAGGAGCGCUUCCUGUGUGCCACAUCCCAGGCUAAUCGCUUUACAUGUGCUAACCCAUCUAAUCCCCACAUCAACCCUGUGAGGUCAGGUUCUGUGAUCAUUUCUCCAUUUUACAGGUGACAUGAGCACUGCCUUUUGGCCAGAAGCGUUCUGGGACCUCGGAAGUGAUGGAAGCUGCUGGGCCCAACUCAGAUUUGGCCCAGCUUGGUUAAAUGGUUUAUGAGGCUGACCUUUCCCUGGGUGGCUUUUCUUAAAUGCCCUCCAGAGGCUGCGCUGCCUCCUAAGAGGUGGCGGUGGGGAAAUCCCUCACUCCAGCACUGGGGAACACAGGGGGGAUCAGGCAGGUGGAAUAAGAGAAACAAGAAGUGAUGAAAGAAGCUGGGCCUGAGAUGCAGGGUCCUGUAGAAUCUUGUUUCUCCAAACGCGGCCCUUGGACCUGACCUGCAGCAUUAGCGUUACCCAGGAAACUGUUAGAGAUUCAGAAUUUAGCCCCCUGCUCCAGGCCUGCUAAUCCAAAUCUGCAUUUUAAUAAAAUCCCUCAGGGUUUGCUGUGUGCAUUUCCAGUUUGGAGAAGCACAGGCUGGGGCACAUGGGCACAUCCCCCAGCCUCUUCCUGCCACCAAGGGGACAGGAUAACAGGAACUGGGACCUGCAUCAGCUUCAGCCCAGCUCCCUAGGGGCUUCAGCUCCUGUGUUAGCACAAGCAUCCCCUCAGGGCCUCCAGUCCUUAAAACCCGCUGCUAAACUAACAUAGCAGGAGAGACUCUCCUUCUGCCAAGCCCUCUCUUCCCAAGCUCGAAAAUAUUCACUCCCUUACCCUCUCUUCUUUGAAGAGGUUUGCAGAGUUCCCAUUGUGACUCAGUGGUAACAAACCUGACUAGUACCCAUGAGGAUGCAAGUUCGAAUCCAGGCCUCACCCAGUGGGGAUCUGGCAUUGCCGAGAUCUAUGCUGUAUGUUGCAGAUGCGACUUGGAUCCUGCGCUGCUGUGGCUGUGGGGUAAGCUGGCAGCUGCAGCUCUGAUUCCACCCCUAGCCUGGGAAUGUUCAUGAGCUGCAGGUAUGGCCCUGGAAAAAAAAAAAAAAAAAGAGGUUUGCACUUUGGGUUCAAACCCAGGCCCUGCCACUUACUAUGAUUAUUGUUAUAAACAUCUCAGUGCCUUGAUUUUCCUUUUCUGUAAAAUAGGGUAUGUAUUUCCUAGACCAUAUAUUUUGUGUGUGUACAGAUUAAAUCUGUGAAUACCCAUAAAGUAUUAGAGUGGUGCCUGGCACAUAACUACAUGUACAUUAGCUGCUUGCUUUCAGCCUACCUUCUUUCCCUCCUCUGACUGGCCCUUGGGAUCGGGUCAGGUGGAGGAGAGGCAGUGCUGACCUGUGUGGCAUCAAUGCCAAGGCAGGGGCUACAGGACUGGAUUCCGGAGGUGACGGGGGCUCCUGUGGGGGGAAGAAGGAAAUAUGUUUGUGGGAGACCUGUGAUAUGCCAGUCUCAGUGCCAGGCAUUUCCUUCAUCUCUACAGUUGUACCAGGAAAGUACUGUUAUUUUCUGAGCUUAUAGAAAGGAUUGAGACUCGAGAAGUGCAGUGACCAACCCAACGUAAUGGUUAAUGAAGGCAGAGCUAGCACUUGGUGGAUCUGUCUGGCCAGCCUGACCUCAGUCCUACCCACUCGACAGGACUCCAUGCUUCCACCUCUACCAGAGCUCAAGCUGGUCCCUUGAGGAGAAAGGGGGAUCCAAAGGGUCAGAGCUGGCAGAGGAAUGGGGAUGCCGAUGGGUCCUAGGGAUGUGGUCAUGGCUCUUUCCUUAGAACCUCACUUUAGAGUGAGGUGGUGCUGGAGUUCCCAUCGUGGCGCAGUGGAAACAAAUCUGACUAGGAACCGUGAGGUUGCAGUUUGCUCCCUGGCCUUGCUUAGUGGGUUAAGGACCCCACGUUGCUGCGAGCUGUGGUGUAGGUCACAGACGCUGCUUGGACCUGGCGUUACUGUGGCUGUGGCAUAGACUGGCCACUGUAGCUCCGCUUCGGCCCCUAGCCUGGGAACCUCCAUAUGCUGUGGGUGUGGCCCUAAAAAAGCAAAAAAGGUGAGGUGGUGCCUUACUCUUGCAAGGAGCAGGGAAGUUCUUCUGAGUGGAACUACAGUGAGAUUAGCUGCUCUUGGUUUUGCUCCCCCAACACAGUUUGCUCGUCCCUCUGUCUCAUGACUGGAAGGCAGGCCAUUGGGUAGAUAUGUUAGAAGCCCGUCGAGGAGACUUCCAGUUAUAGCACUGAUGUAUAAAGAACUUGGAAAUUGUCACUCCCAUCCCUACAACCAGGAAAAGCCGAACAAACUGAAAAUGAACAACUUUCAGCUCCAUCGGAGAAUUUUUUUUUUUUUUUUUUUUUUUUUUUUUUUUUCUGUCUUUUUAGGGCUGCCCCCUUGGCAUAUGGAGGUUCCCAGGCUGGAGUCAAAUUGGAGCUGUAGCUGCUGGCCUACACCACAGCCACAGCAGCAUGGGAUCCAAGCCGCGUCUGUGACCUACGCCACAGCUCACAGCAACGCUGGAUCCUUAACCCACUGAGGGAGGUUGGGGAUUGACCCCCUGUCCUCAUGGAUGCUAGUCAGGUUCAUUAACCGCUGAGCCAUGACAGGAACUCCUGCAUCAGAGAAUUAAAGUCCCAGGGCAAACUGCCACUCUCACAUCUGUGAAGAGAGGUGAAUAUUGAGACUCACAGCCAAGAUCGCCUUAUUUAAAGGAGAAGCCACCAAAGCCAGUAACUGGUAGGAACACUUAAAUGCUAAUUUUUAAAACUGCUUUUUUGGGGUGUGGUUGACAAACAAAAAGCUGUAUAUAUUUAAUGUAUACAACUCAAUGAGUUGGCACAUAUGUAUAAAACCAUGAAAACGUCACCACAAUCUAUGCUAUAAACAUAUCCAUCACCUCCAAAAGUUUCCUCCUUCCCUCUUUGUUAAUUAUUGCUGUUAUUUUUAAGUGGUAAUUUUGAUGAACUGCGGAAAGCUCAGUGUGGACUAGCUUGAUAGUUAAAAACUAAUGUGAGCACAGCCUUAGGCUGACCAUAUAUUCAUGGGUUCACAUGGUGAAGAUCAGGGAAUAACUCCCUCUGUUUGGAGCAGGAGAAAUGACACUUUGAAAUGUGCUCAGAGUGUUUUCCAUAACAAAGGCCUCAUGAGAAACUGCUUUAACAGAGCUUUGUCUGACCUCAAGAAGGGCAAUUAAAUAACUCCAGUCCUCUUGA